CAGUAGCCACGGUAAUACGGAGGGUGCAAGCGUUAAUCGGAAUUACUGGGCGUAAAGCGCACGCAGGCGGUCUGUCAAGUCAGAUGUGAAAUCCCCGGGCUUAACCUGGGAACUGCAUUUGAAACUGUCAGGCUGGAGUCUUGUAGAGGGGGGUAGAAUUCCAGGUGUAGCGGUGAAAUGCGUAGAGAUCUGGAGGAAUACCGGUGGCGAAGGCGGCCCCCUGGACAAAGACUGACGCUCAGGUGCGAAAGCGUGGGGAGCAAACAGGAUUAGAUACCCCAGUAGUCCCUGUCUCUUAUAC
rnacentral:rRNA from 1 species